AGCGCAGAUGAAAUUAGAUGAUGCUUGGCUGGGUUUUGAUAAGAUAUCUGCAAAUUGGACAAUGAAGGAAAAGCAACGGAAGGAUAGGAAGGCUCUUUCGUAAAUAUUGAAAGAGAAAAUAACUGCUAAUUUGGGGUUGAAAUUGGAGCAGUUGUGCAUGACCAAAAGUCUGAUGGGCAAAUUGCAUUUAAAGCAGAGACUGCAUUUCUAUCGCAUGGUAGAAUGAGGAUCCUUGGAAGACCACCUGGCUAUAUUCAUGGAAAUCGUCGCUAAUCUGGAAAUAUUGGAGGUCAAGUAUGAUGAAAAGAAUAUGGCCUUGAUCCUGUUGUGCUUGCUGCCUGCUUCGUAUUCGUCGUUUCAAGACACGAUUUUGUACAUUCGUAACACACUCAACAUUGACGAUGUUUAUG
rnacentral:lncRNA from 1 species